CAAAAAAAAAAAAAAAAAAAAAAGAGAAAAAAAAAAGAAUGGCUAUAUAUUAAUUUGCCUAAUUUGACUGAAAGGCUAUUAUACAAACUGAUAAGGCUUUCUUAAGACAAGUGGCGAGCUGCCCUAAACAUUAAAAAAAAUACUCCGUCAGGGAAAGAAAUGCACACGGGUGAAAUAAUUUUCCAGUAGUAUUGCAUCUUUUUUGGUGUGAUCCUUUUCCUUCAUUGAACGGUGUCAUCUCACAUGCACACAUAUACACAAAGACAAACAUACAUGCAGUUGAACAGGAAAUCUUGAAGUUUCUCCUACAUUUUCAAGUUUUGCCAAGUUCAACCAGUUAGGUUCUCUCACUGAGACUAGGUUACUGAUAGAACAUUUUAAAGCAUCAGUUCCUUUCUCAGAACUUGCUUAGUUCAUUUCACUAGAGAAUUCCUGGUCCACUUGUCUUUAGAUGCUACUGGACUCACUAGUUGUGGAACAGUUUAGUUUGUAAAAGAAAAAUUACUCUUCAGAUAGAGUGCUUAGAAUUAGAUUUUUGCGAUCCAUGUUUUUUUCUUUUGUGUGAAAUUCUUUAGGAGUACUGCUAUUAUGAUACUUGUCAUCCAAAUUAGAAGCUUAUGUACAUAAAACUGAAGUCUCUCUUGUACUAGUACUUAUGGUUCAUAGGUGAACACAAUAUAAAGAAAUCCAUUGUGUGUGUGUGUGUUGUGUGUGUGUUUUAGACUCCCAACUUUGCCUAGUGGUAGGAAAAAAAAUGCUAAUAGUAGGUCACCAUGAAAUCUGCUGACUUUAAUAAUCCAGAUAAAAUGAGUGUCAGGAGUCUUCUAAUAUUCUUUCAAAUUUGUUUGUCUUGAAUAAACUGAAUGCUUGUACUUAUUGUCCAACAUUCUAUAGUAAUUGUAUUUAAUAGUAAAAAAUAAUAUAAGCAGUGAUUUUUAAAGGGAGCUUGAGAGAGUUUUUUCUUUUUUUGCAUUAUAUAGAGGUUUCAUCUGCAUGAAAAUUUGUGCUAUUUAAGUUUGUUUAAAUAAAAGCAUCCACAUUCCCAAAGGUCACUUGUAAAUAGUGGUUUAGAACUCUGUAGAAGAUGACUAGAUUCUUAAGGAAGCUCAUAAAGGCUUUUUAAAACCAUUGUAUAGUUAACCAUUAGUAUGCUCAGUGCUUAGUUUUCUUUAACGGAACCAAUCAAUGUAGGAAGCAGAAGAAAGCAGAGGUCUCCUUUUUCCUGAUUUGCUUCAGGAAGGUUAAGUUCUUUGGUAUGAGUGUUCCCUGGUUACCUCUUACCAUCCUUAACUCUCCAGUGGAAUGCUAUAUAGACCAACUUCGCUUUUCCCUUCCUAGAUGUUCUAUACUUCAAAAUUUCAUAUCUUUCCUCUAGUCAGAUUUCCUGUUUCUUUGUUGGCUGUAGUUGGCCAGACUUUAAGGGAAGAGUGUUUUCCAGCAAGGUGUGAACAAAGAUAAUAAAGUGGGAUUAAAUUUCUUUUUUUAUUUUAAAGAAUUUAAAAGUCUAAUAGCUAAGAUUUAAGACAAUAUGACUACAUUUCAGGCACCAUAGGAAGGAGUGGCUAUCAAAUUGACUGAUGCUUUCUUGGGAGUACUUCCCCAAUUUCCUUUAAAUUGUUGAGCCUUUUCAAAAUUUCAUUUCCUCUGCUUCUGAACUCAGAGGUUUUCUCAUUUUCUUUUUUCGUUUUCUUUCUUUUCGGCUUUUUAGGGCCGCACCCAAGGCAUAUGGAGAUUCCCAGGCUAAGGUAUAUGGAAAUUCCCAGGCUAGGGGUCCAAUCGGAGCUACAGGUGCCAGCCUAUGUCACAGCCACAGCAUGCAGGUUCCGAGCUUUGAUCUGCGAACUACACCAAAGCUCACCGCAACACCGGAUCUUUAACCCACUGAGAGAGGCCAGGGAUCAAAUCCGUGUCCUCAUGGAUACUAGUUGGGUUUGCUAACCACUGAGCCAUGACGGGAACGCCUUCUCAUUUUCAAAUUUUAGUAACUUCCCCUUUUCCUCUAUUCCAUUUACCCAGUAAAGCAGCAUAGAAGCCUCUUCUGCAUUUUUCCAGCUCUUGGCACUCUUACACAGGAGUUUAGAGGCACCCCUGGAGUAAAGAGGCUAGGGAUGGCAUUAGUGUCUCCCAAGACAAGUUGUCUAGGGCAAAUGAAGGGAAGAAAGUUUUCAUUGAAAACUUUUCAUGAAACCCAAUGGAUAAGCUUCAUCUUUGUCAUAAACUGUCAAAAUACAUUACUUGUAAUUAUAUUAAAAUGUAUUCUAAAUACCUAUACUUUUCUUGUUCUGUAGAUGAUGUAGAUGAUGUUGCUUGUUAGUUAAAAUAUCUUUUAUAAAAGAAAGUCCUGCUUCUAAUCAUGAUGUAUGUGACUUAAAUGACUGUUUCAUAUUAAAACUAUUUCUUCUUUAUGUACUGCUUACAUAUACCUCUUUUUGGGAUAUUAGUUCAGUACUUUUAUACAAAUCUGAAUGUGUUCCACAUUGGUGACAUGUAUUUUUGCAGUAAAUUUUUGUUUUGUUCUUAGAGCAUGUCUAAAGUAACACAUGCACUAGUGCUGUGGUCUGUGGCAAAAUUACUGUAAUUCAAAUUGGAAAAUAAAAUGUUUCCAGACUUUGUCCAACAUUUAUUCCUAUGGCAAAGGAAAUUACUAUGUAAUACUAAUUAUUUCUUAUGCUGGUAUGUUUAAGCUACUCUAUGAAGUAUGUGAGACAUCAAUAUUUAUGGAUUAGUAGAUGGCCUGAUGUCUUUGAAAUGGGAGAGAGGGGUAAAAUUUGGUAUUAGCAAUUCAUAGUACUCGUAAUACAAUAAAUACUUCUUAAAAAAUUGAUCUUCCUCUUACAGUUAUUAUUUACUAUGAAAUUACCUUAAUUGACAGUGCAUAUUAGGAUUUUUCAGCUUGUACCAUUAAAAUUACAUACUAGACUUUGAACAUAUUCUGAUAUCUUCCAAUCAAAAAAGAUAUCAUUUACUCUCUUAACCAAAAUAAGUAGUAAAAAUUAAUCCAUUAAGAAACUAUUAAAAUUCCAUAAAACUCCUCCAAUUUACUUAGAAUUUGUAACUAUUGAUUCAAGGACUUGAAUGGUGUUUACUGUGUAUGAUCUGAUGAAAAGAUUUAUUGGAAAAAUCGUGAGAUUUUAAAGAAAAAUGUGUAACCUUGGAAAAUUUUUAAGCUUUUUGGAGGCAUUAAUUUCAGAAUACUAGUUUAAAAGCAUUCUUUUGUCAUUCAACCAAUUACCCCCAAAGAACUGUAAUAGUUACUUGCACAUUUAUAUAUUUGAAGUUACAUGCUUAACAGAAAAAAAAAGAAUGCUUGUGAGUGCUUAAACAGUAUAUCUUUUUAAAAUACUCAAAAUUUUAGGCUUUUAUCCAUUUAAACUAUCCUGAAUUAACAAGGUUUUACUCUUAUCAGUGAUGUAUAUUACAAGGUAAAUGUCUACCGAUGUUAUGCUAAUGAUCUCUCCACAUUGCAUCAUUUUUGGCAUGGUUGUUGUGGUAUAUUUUGUAUGUUUGAUUGUCAGCUAUUGAUAGAAUUAACAUAGCAAUAAAUCUAAUUCUGUUCUUAAUAUUUUUUAAAAAUACCAGAUUUUUACUGUGUCAUAUUACCAUUAUAUUUUACUUGAAUGCCCAACAUUUUUAUGGGUUUCUUUUUUGUAUUAAGAAUUUAGUUUUACACGUUAGGGAUUUUUUUCUGGUAUUUUCAUAUGCAGUCUUUUAGAACUGGGUCUGUUUGAAUCAUAAAAGUUUUCAAGAAGUAUUAGUAUUAACUGAUUCAUGAAUUGCUUUGUGGAAAGUUUUGAAUAAAGUAUGAAGUCACUAGGUUACCCUCAAAUUGUUCGUUUUCUUUAUGUAGUUAAUGUAUAGUUACAUUUUUCAGAGAAAUAAAAUUGGCUUGGUAACUGAUUGAAUAUACUAGAUAUAGUGCAGUUUGAAUGUAUAAGGGCUUCCAAAUAUUAAACCAAAUGAUUCUCAAUUCUGAAAUACUUUUUAAUAAUUAAAUAAUGGUAAGCCAGUUCUUAUGGUUAUUUUUAAGAUUUUUAACCCUUAUAGUUUCCUCAUUACUAUUUUUCCUUUUUCCUUAAACAUCAUGGUAGAAUUUAAAAUUGGCUAUCUUCCACAUUUUAGUUUUUUAUUCUAUAGAUAAGUAGUUAAGACAAGUAGAGGUUCUAUCAAAACAGUCUAUGUUAUUGUUGGACAUUCUUUUCAGGGAUCAUGCUGAAUGUCAUGUGUGCAUUGUAUAAAGAAUGUUAUUUAUCAGUAUAUAGACUUAGUAGAAAUUCUGUAUGGCAGGCUUUCUUCAACAAUAUGUAUUGUAAGUUUGUUUCCUAUUAGUGUUAUGCUUCAAAUUCUUUUAAAUAAAGCUAGUUU
rnacentral:lncRNA from 1 species